UAACAGGAGAUGCAGCCGUGGAAUGAGGUUUCCUAGUGUCAUUGGAAAUGGAAAAAAAGAGAAGCCUGAAUUUUCCCUGGAAUUGUUAAAGAAAUCUGAUUAGUCUUACAAAUCUCCCCACAAAGAAAAUACCGAGCCCAGCUGGCUUCCUACGCGGAGUCCACCAAACUGGCAAGGAACCCAUCAUCUCAACCAUAAAAGAACAAACUUUUCCAGAGAACUGGAGGAGAACACGUUCCUUAGCACACACCAGUAUAGCUGAGAGUAAACUGUGUCCCAAAGAAAGGGACACGGGCCAUUCUCACCAGGACAACGGAAGCAAUUAAAUUAGCUAGUAAUAAAAAGAUAACGGCAAAAAAAAAAAAAAAACCC